rnacentral:rRNA from 1 species
GACAGAGGGUGCGAGCGUUGUCCGGAAUUAUUGGGCGUAAAGAGCUCGUAGGCGGUUUGUCGCGUCUGCUGUGAAAACUCGGGGCUUAACUCCGGGCCUGCAGUGGGUACGGGCAGACUAGAGUGCGGUAGGGGAGACUGGAAUUCCUGGUGUAGCGGUGAAAUGCGCAGAUAUCAGGAGGAACACCGGUGGCGAAGGCGGGUCUCUGGGCCGUAACUGACGCUGAGGAGCGAAAGCGUGGGGAGCGAACAGG